CUCACACAUCCGUAUUCAAGGUCUCUCUCUCAUUUUCUCGCGACCCUAACGGCCUACACUUCACAGAGCGCUUAGACUUGUCUGAUUUUAGGGUUUCUUUCUAAUUUAUUAUCUUCUUUGCGAAACCCUAAUCCUCGGAUCAGGUCUGAGCAUCUGGUUGUUAGGCUUCUCUGGUCAGCCAAGUUUCAUGUCUGAGCUCGAAACCCAGAUUC
rnacentral:misc_RNA from 1 species